rnacentral:tRNA from 1 species
GGGCACAUAGCUCAGUUGGUUAGAGCACUACGUUCACAUCGUAGGGGUCGCCCGUUCGAAUCGGGCUGUGCCCA